GCAUUGGUGGUUCAGUGGUAAAAUUCUCGCCUUCCAUAUAGGAGACCCAGGUUCAGUUCCUGGCAAGUGCA
rnacentral:tRNA from 1 species